AACGCUAGCUACAGGCUUAACACAUGCAAGUCGCGGGGCAGCAUUUCCUUAGCUUGCUAAGGAAGAUGGCGACCGGCGCACGGGUGAGUAACGCGUAUCCGACCUGCCCACCACUUGGGGAUAACCUUGCGAAAGUAAGACUAAUACCCAAUGAUAUCCCACGAAGGCAUCCGAAUGGGAUUAAAGAUUUAUCGGUGAUGGAUGGGGAUGCGUCUGAUUAGCUUGUUGGCGGGGUAACGGCCCACCAAGGCAACGAUCAGUAGGGGUUCUGAGAGGAAGGUCCCCCACAUUGGAACUGAGACACGGUCCAAACUCCUACGGGAGGCAGCAGUGAGGAAUAUUGGUCAAUGGACGAGAGUCUGAACCAGCCAAGUAGCGUGCAGGAUGACGGCCCUAUGGGUUGUAAACUGCUUUUAUGUGGGAAUAAAUAAGAUUACGUGUAAUCUGUUGCAUGUACCACAUGAAUAAGGACCGGCUAAUUCCGUGCCAGCAGCCGCGGUAAUACGGAAGGUCCGGGCGUUAUCCGGAUUUAUUGGGUUUAAAGGGAGCGUAGGCCGCCCCUUAAGCGUGUUGUGAAAUGCCGCGGCUCAACCGUGGCACUGCAGCGCGAACUGCUGGGCUUGAGUGUGCGGAAAGCGGGCGGAAUUUGUGGUGUAGCGGUGAAAUGCUUAGAUAUCACGAAGAACUCCGAUUG
rnacentral:rRNA from 1 species